AUGUGUGUACCUAAAGAGAUGGGUGGUAUGGGAUUCCGUGAUCUACACUGUUUUAAUUUGGCCCUUCUCGCAAAGCAAUGUUGGAGGCUCUUGAGUGAGCCAGAUUCGUUAUGUGCCAGAAUUUUAAGAGCAAAAUAUUUUCCAGGGGGCAACCUCCUUACGUGCAGCUUAAAGAAGGGCAGCUCUUACACCUGGCAGAGCAUUUGGAGUGGUAUUCAGACCUUC
rnacentral:rRNA from 1 species